UACGUAGGGUGCAAGCGUUAAUCGGAAUUACUGGGCGUAAAGCGUGCGCAGGCGGUUGGGCAAGACAGAUGUGAAAUCCCCGGGCUUAACCUGGGAACUGCAUUUGUGACUGCACGGCUAGAGUGUGUCAGAGGGGGGUAGAAUUCCACGUGUAGCAGUGAAAUGCGUAGAUAUGUGGAGGAAUACCGAUGGCGAAGGCAGCCCCCUGGGAUAACACUGACGCUCAUGCACGAAAGCGUGGGGAGCAAACAGG
rnacentral:rRNA from 1 species